rnacentral:miRNA from 1 species
GAUCUCUCUGUCUUCUGUAUAUACCCUGUAGAUCCGAAUUUGUGUAAGGAAUUUUGUGGUCACAAAUUCGUAUCUAGGGGAAUAUGUAGUUGACAUAAACACUCCGCUCA